AACGAACGCUGGCGGCAGGCUUAACACAUGCAAGUCGAGCGAGACCUUCGGGUCUAGCGGCGGAUGGGUGAGUCACGCGUGGGAACGUGCCCUUCUCUACGGCAUAGCCACGGGACACUGGGAGUAAUACCGUACACGACCUAUGGGGGAAAGAUUUAUCGGAGUAGGAUCGGCCCGCGUUGGAUUAGGUAGUUGGUGGGGUAAUGGCCCACCAAGCGGUCGAUUCAUAGCUGGUUUGAGAGGAUGGUUAGCCACACUGAGACUGAGACACGGCCCAGACUCCUACGCGAGGCAGCAGUGGGGAAUCGUAGACAAUGGGGGCAACCCUGAUCGAGCCAUGCCGCGUGAGUGAUGAAGGCCUUAGGGUUGUAAAGCUCUUUCAGCUGGGAAGAUAAUGACGGUACCAGCAGAAGAAGCCCCGGCUAACUCCGUG
rnacentral:rRNA from 1 species